rnacentral:rRNA from 1 species
CGCCCGGGAAUUACGAGCACAAGCUUAAAACCCAAAGGAUUUGACGGUGUCCCACCCCCCUAGAGGAGCCUGUUCUAUAAUCGAUAAUCCUCGAUAUACCUCACCAUUUUUUGUUAUCCAGCCUGUAUACCUCCGUCGUAAGCUUACCAUUUGAGUGUUCAAAAGUAAGUCUAAUGGCCUAACACGCCAAUACGUCAGGUCAAGGUGCAGCCUAUAAAAUGGGAAGCAAUGGGCUACAAUUUCUAACAUAGAACAAACGAAAUACUAUAUGAAACACAGUCAUGAAGGCGGAUUUAGUAGUAAAAGAAGAAUAGCGAGCUUCUUUAAACAAGGCCCUGGGACGUGUACAAACCGCCCGUCACCCUCUUCAAUAGCGCCCCUUAUGUUCUAUAACACCUGUUAGUACCUUAGAAGAGGUAAGUCGUAACAUGGUAAGUGUACUGGAAAGUGCACUUGGCAA